AGGCGGCGGGGAAGAAGGCGACAGGGGAGGAGGCGGCAGGUGAGGAAGGCGGCGGGGAAGAAGGCGGCAGGGGAUGAAGGCGGCGGGGAAGAAGGCGGCAGGGGAUGAAGGCGGCGGGGAAGAAGGCGGCGGGGAAGAAGGCGGCAGGGGAUGAAGGCGGCGGGGAAGAAGGCGGCAGGGGAAGAAGGCGGCGGGGAUGAAGGCGGCGGGGAAGAAGGCGGCAGGGGAAGAAGGCGGCAGGGGAUGAAGGCCGCGGGGAAGAAGGCGGCAGGCGAGGAGCGGCAGGGGAGGAGGCGGCAGGGGAUGAAGGCGG
rnacentral:lncRNA from 1 species